rnacentral:ncRNA from 1 species
CAGGCCCAUACCCGGCCAUCACCGGCUGUCGGGACCCGGCUGAGGUGGGAUCCCGAGGCCUCUCCAGGCCAAGGGCACACCACCGGCCCAUCUCACCCGCCCCAUAGGGGAGAUGGAGCACGAGCGUAUGUGUUAGGACCUGAAAGAUGGUGAACUAUGCCUGGGCAGGGCGAAGCCAGAGGAAACUCUGGUGGAGGUCCGUAGUGGUCCUGACAUGCAAAUCGGUCGUCCGACCUGGGUAGAGAGGUAAAAGACUAAUCGAACCAUCUAGUAGCUGG